rnacentral:rRNA from 1 species
GAUGAACGCUGGCGGCGUGCCUAAUACAUGCAAGUCGAGCGAACGGACGAGAAGCUUGCUUCUCUGAUGUUAGCGGCGGACGGGUGAGUAACACGUGGAUAACCUACCUAUAAGACUGGGAUAACUUCGGGAAACCGGAGCUAAUACCGGAUAAUAUUUUGAACCGCAUGGUUCAAAAGUGAAAGACGGUCUUGCUGUCACUUAUAGAUGGAUCCGCGCUGCAUUAGCUAGUUGGUAAGGUAACGGCUUACCAAGGCAACGAUGCAUAGCCGACCUGAGAGGGUGAUCGGCCACACUGGAACUGAGACACGGUCCAGACUCCUACGGGAGGCAGUAGUAGGGAAUCUUCCGCAAUGGGCGAAAGCCUGACGGAGCAACGCCGCGUGAGUGAUGAAGGUCUUCGGAUCGUAAAACUCUGUUAUUAGGGAAGAACAUAUGUGUAAGUAACUGUGCGCAUCUUGACGGUACCUAAUCAGAAAGCCACGGCUAACUACGUG